ensembl:ncRNA R06C1.12 ncRNA
AAGCCUCAGCCUAAGCCUGAGCUUGAGCCUAAGCCUAAGCCGAAGCUUAAGCUUAAGCCUAAGCCUAAGCCUA